rnacentral:rRNA from 1 species
GAACGCUGGCGGCGUGCUUAACACAUGCAAGUCGAACGAUGAUGCCAGCUUGCUGGUGGAUUAGUGGCGAACGGGUGAGUAACACGUGAGUAACCUGCCCUUGACUCUGGGAUAAGCGUUGGAAACGACGUCUAAUACCGGAUACGACGCGCGAAGGCAUCUUCUGCGCGUGGAAAGAAUUUCGGUCAAGGAUGGACUCGCGGCCUAUCAGCUAGUUGGUGAGGUAACGGCCCACCAAGGCGACGACGGGUAGCCGGCCUGAGAGGGUGACCGGCCACACUGGGACUGAGACACGGCCCAGACUCCUACGGGAGGCAGCAGUGGGGAAUAUUGCACAAUGGGCGCAAGCCUGAUGCAGCAACGCCGCGUGAGGGACGACGGCCUUCGGGUUGUAAACCUCUUUUAGUAGGGAAGAAGCGAAAGUGACGGUACCUGCAGAAAAAGCACCG